rnacentral:pre_miRNA from 14 species
AAGGGUCCUUCCAGAGGGCCCCCCUCAAUCCUGUUGUGCUCGCUUCAGAGGGUUGGAUGGAGGCUCUCCCGAAGGGCUCU